rnacentral:rRNA from 1 species
CUACGGGUUGCUGCAGUGGGGAAUAUUGCACAAUGGGCGCAAGCCUGAUGCAGCCAUGCCGCGUGUAUGAAGAAGGCCUUCGGGUUGUAAAGUACUUUCAGCGGGGAGGAAGGGAGUAAAGUUAAUACCUUUGCUCAUUGACGUUACCCGCAGAAGAAGCACCGGCUAACUCCGUGCCAGCAGCCGCGGUAAUACGGAGGGUGCAAGCGUUAAGCGGAAUUACUGGGCGUAAAGCGCACGCAGGCGGUUUGUUAAGUCAGAUGUGAAAUCCCCGGGCUCAACCUGGGAACUGCAUCUGAUACUGGCAAGCUCGAGUCUCGUAGAGGGGGGUAGAAUUCCAGGUGUAGCGGUGAAAUGCGUAGAGAUCUGGAGGAAUACCGGUGGCGAAGGCGGCCCCCUGGACGAAGACUGACGCUCAGGUGCGAAAGCGUGGGGAGCAAACAGGAUUAGAUACCCCAGUAGUC